rnacentral:lncRNA from 1 species
GCUCAUCAUCCAAGUCGUCCUCAAGGCAGCUAAGCGAGAGCUUCAAGAGCAAAGAGUUUGUGUCUAGUGAUGAGAGCUCUUCGGGAGAGAACAAGAGCAAAAAGAAGAGGAGGAGGAGACUCUGAAGAAGAAGAACUAGCCAGUACUCCCCCCAGCUCAGAGGACUCAGCGUCAGGAUCCGAUGAGUAGAAACGGAGGAAGGUUCUCUUUGCGCUUGCCUUCUCACACCCCCCGACUCCCCACCCAUAUUUUGGUACCAGUUUCUCCUCAUGAAAUGCAGUCCCUGGAUUCUGUGCCAUCUGAACAUGCUCUCCUGUUGGUGUGUAUGUCACUAGGGCAGUGGGGAGACGUCUUAACUCUGCUGCUUCCCAAGGAUGGCUGUUUAUAAUUUGGGGAGAGAUAGGGUGGGAGGCAGGGCAAUGCAGGAUCCAAAUCCUCAUCUUACUUUCCCGACCUUAAGGAUGUAGCUGCUGCUUGUCCUGUUCAAGUUGCUGGAGCAGGGGUCAUGUGAGGCCAGGCCUGUAGCUCCUACCUGGGGCCUAUUUCUACUUUCAUUUUGUAUUUCUGGUCUGUGAAAAUGAUUUAAUAAAGGGAACUGACUUUG